rnacentral:rRNA from 1 species
UAGGGAAUCUUCCACAAUGGACGCAAGUCUGAUGGAGCAACGCCGCGUGAGUGAAGAAGGUUUUCGGAUCGUAAAGCUCUGUUGUUGGUGAAGAAGGAUAGAGGCAGUAACUGGUCUUUAUUUGACGGUAAUCAACCAGAAAGUCACGGCUAACUACGUGCCAGCAGCCGCGGUAAUACGUAGGUGGCAAGCGUUGUCCGGAUUUAUUGGGCGUAAAGCGAGCGCAGGCGGAAUGAUAAGUCUGAUGUGAAAGCCCACGGCUCAACCGUGGAACUGCAUCGGAAACUGUCAUUCUUGAGUGCAGAAGAGGAGAGUGGAAUUCCAUGUGUAGCGGUGGAAUGCGUAGAUAUAUGGAAGAACACCAGUGGCGAAGGCGGCUCUCUGGUCUGCAACUGACGCUGAGGAUCGAAAGCAUGGGUAGCGAACAGG